rnacentral:rRNA from 1 species
CACCAGACUCCUACGGGAGGCAGCAGUGGGGGAUAUUGCACAAUGGGGGGAACCCUGAUGCAGCGACGCCGCGUGGGUGAAGGAGUAUUUCGGUAUGUAAAGCCCUAUCGGCAGGGAAGAAGAAAGACGGUACCUGACUAAGAAGCCCCGGCUAACUACGUGCCAGCAGCCGCGGUAAUACGUAGGUGGCAAGCGUUGUCCGGAUUUACUGGGUGUAAAGGGCGUGUAGCCGGGCCGGCAAGUCAGAUGUGAAAUCCAUGGGCUUAACCCGUGAACUGCUUUUGAAACUGCAGGACUUGAGUGGAGUAGAGGUAGGCGGAAUUCCCGGUGUAGCGGUGAAAUGCGUAGAGAUCGGGAGGAACACCAGUGGCGAAGGCGGCCUACUGGGCUUUAACUGACGCUGAGGCACGAAAGCGUGGGUAGCAAACAGGAUUAGAUACCCUAGUA